UACGUAGGGUGCAAUCGUUGUCCGGAAUUAUUGGGCGUAAAGAGCUCGUAGGCGGUCUGUCGCGUCGGCUGUGAAAACCCGGGGCUCAACCCCGGGCCUGCAGUCGAUACGGGCAGACUAGAGUGUGGUAGGGGAGACUGGAAUUCCUGGUGUAGCGGUGAAAUGCGCAGAUAUCAGGAGGAACACCGGUGGCGAAGGCGGGUCUCUGGGCCAUAACUGACGCUGAGGAGUGAAAGCGUGGGGAGCGAACAGG
rnacentral:rRNA from 1 species